rnacentral:piRNA from 1 species
AUGGUCUCUGCUAAAACUCUCUGUAGUUGCC